GGUUGUAUAGUAUAGUGGUUAGUACGGCUCGUUGUGGCCGAGCAGACGCAGGUUCGAUUCCUGCUACAGCCA